UACGAAGGGAGCUAGCGUUGUUCGGAAUCACUGGGCGUAAAGCGCACGUAGGCGGACUCUUAAGUCAGGGGUGAAAUCCUGGAGCUCAACUCCAGAACUGCCUUUGAUACUGAAGAUCUUGAGUUCGGGAGAGGUGAGUGGAACUGCGAGUGUAGAGGUGAAAUUCGUAGAUAUUCGCAAGAACACCAGUGGCGAAGGCGGCUCACUGGCCCGAUACUGACGCUGAGGCACGAAAGCGUGGGGAGCAAACAGG
rnacentral:rRNA from 1 species